GGUGGUAGAAGGAAGAGUACUUUCCUAGGGUCAUGAUGAAGUCCAGUGGAGUGUGUUGGGGUAAGAAACAAUGAAAUGGCUGCCCUGGGUGCCCUCCUUCAGUGGAAGAUCUGGGAGGAGAAAUGACUUAACAACUUAACUUUCAGAUCCUGAAUGCAGUACUAGCUGAAUAUGUACUCUGCUCAGAUGAGAACAAGGAUUUUCUUGGAAGAGCUGGCUUAUUGUUUGAUUCAGACAAAGAGUGCCUUAUCUGGAAAUGACCAGAACAUCAUUGGAAGUGAAUUUGGAUCUUAUUCGCUUUCAGAGAGAAUGUUUCUAGAAAAGAGCUUCUUAAGAUUAAAGAAAAAAAAAGAUGGUACAAAGGCAAAGACUUGGAAAAAGUUAAGCUGCCUACAGAACUUCUGAAGGAGGGAAAUAAAGGCUGAAAAAUUCAAAGAGGACUGAGAAAC
rnacentral:lncRNA from 1 species